CGGGUGACCAUGAAGUACACGUUAUAUAUCACUUUCUACUUCGAGACUGAGGUGGUGGAGACUCCCAAGAAACGAGGCCGACCCAAGAAGAAUUCCACUUCACAGAAGUUAAAAUUCUGAGGGGAGACGGCAACAGGAACAGUAUGUUCCUCUCCGAGGCCGACUCCCCUACAGAUAUGAAAUUACACAAUAAUAAUUAGUACAAGCAAUUAAAAAAAUGUAAAAGCAAAUACAAAUAAAACAAGCUAAAUAUUGAUCAUGAUGACUGUUUUGCCAUGUCAACAGUACCAUAGAUACAUACAUCAUUCUAGUGUACACUAUUUAAUAAUCCUACCUGGCUACUGAUGGAAUAUUCUAUGGAAUAGCAUGACAAAUGGAUCUAAACUAUGAGUCGGGGCAAAACCAACAUCAAAAUGACUUGUUCUCACCUGAUUGCAAAGUUUUUAAA